CCCGUGAACAUUCUGGUUGCUACAUUUGACAUCCCAUUGAUCGCCUGGGUUGAUUCAGCUGAUCUUGUUGGCUAGGUGUGUGUCCCCUUCCUCCCUCAGUGCUCCCAUGUGCAUUGCUCCUGAAGCUGUGUGCUCAGUCCAAGAAGAAGACCUUUCACAAAUAGAGGAGCACUGGUCUUUGGUCAAGGCUAUACGAGGAGCUCUGCUCCCCUGCUAGAAACCCCAAACAAGCUCUCAAGGAAUUGACUUCUGAGUGUAGCAGAAUACUGUCAGGAUUCAUUUUAUUGCUACAUUCCUGUAGUAGAACAAUAGU
rfam:Rattus norvegicus chromosome 14, whole genome shotgun sequence.